AAAAGAAGGUGAGAUAUAAGUCUGCCUUUAAAGCUAUUGACGCCAUUAAAAUAAAAUUUAAAAAAAUUGACGGAGUGCUGCGAAACACUCUCAGUGAUUACUCGAAAAUGAACCGUUACGUGAUAUUCUUCGCUCUUACCGUCCUUCUUCUAGUGGAUUUAGUUGAGAUGAAAAAAUACUACGGAGGGGGUGGAGUUGAAUACGGAAAAGGUAAAUACUAUAAAGGAAAAUAUGACGAUGGCAAGUACUACAAAGGAAAAUAUGAAGGAGGCAAAUCAAAAUAUGACGAUGGAAAAUACUACAAAGGAAAAUAUGAUUAUGGCAAAAAGUAUGAUUACGGCAAAUACUACAAAGGAAAGUAUGACUAUGGCAAAUACGGCAAGGGACAAUAUUGAGGAAGAAUGUAAAUUUGAUUGAAAUACUAAUUAAAAAGUUAUUAAAGAUUUUAUGACAAGA